rnacentral:lncRNA from 1 species
AGGGAGUCCAUCUUUUGAUGGUACUCCUCCUUCUGCUACUGUGUGUCAAAAAGAGCUCUGGCUGUGGUUUCACACAUUUGGGAGAAGAUUGCGUGAGCAAGCUGAAGCCAGAUGAAGCAUCAUCUCACGCUUGUUUUCCCUGCUGGGCUAACAUAGCUCCCUCUGCAGUAAAUUUUGAGCAGCAAAUGCAUCUGGUUGGGAAGAAAACUUUUGUGCCUGAUCCUGACCUGACUCAAACUCAAGCACUUCUCACUGAGGUUAAGCAGAGUUGCUUCGUUGGACCUCUGAGGUUGAGAGCAUUCUGCUUGAAUCCAACUACCAACUCAAUGGAAGUAGAAGAAGCUUGACCUCUUAAUGCUUUGCCUCUCUAUUAUUAAUAUUGCCAUAGUAUCAAACGUCCUGUGGAUGGAAUGCACAGAUGUAUGGCUGAUGUUGUACAUACAACAUGCAAAAAGAUGGCCAUCCAGCAAACUUUCCCAAAAAUCCCUCAAGAGAGAGAUUUCCUAAGAAAAAAGGGGAGGGGGGGAAGAAGAGACUGCAUCAUAUAUUUCUGAAAAAAAUUAUUUUUUGAGCUGCCAUGGGUAGCAGCAUUACAAAAGUUGAGGGAGGGACAAGAACACAUGAACUCAAGGAAUUUUCUUUUUUUCAAAGGCAAACUCAGCCAAAGCAGGAGGAGGCGGUAACAAGCGAGGAAGUGAGUGAAUGCACAACAGCAAGGCUGGUCUGACCUUUAGAUGCUCAGAGUAUUUAAAGUGUGGCAGUCGCAUUGAUUUCCUAUGUAGACCAUACUGUAUUUCUCCUACACUGACAAACAGGAGACUAACUGAUUCAUGAGAGUCACUAUUUGCAUGUCAAGUUUAUUGGUUUCCUCUGCUACAGCUUUUGUCAGUGAUGCUCAGAAAAUAUCUUGCACAACAUACUCUCCCUACUGCAUUCUCCAUAUGAACAGUUAAAAACAGUAAAUACAUAUACCCAUACUUUUACUUUCUCUGCCUUUAUUGCAUUUUAAUUUUAGUGUUUUAGCUAUGAAAAU